AUUGAACGCUGGCGGCAGGCCUAACACAUGCAAGUCGAACGGUAACAGGAAACAGCUUGCUGUUUCGCUGACGAGUGGUGGACGGGUGAGUAAUGUCUGGGAAACUGCCUGAUGGAGGGGGAUAACUACUGGAAACGGUAGCUAAUACCGCAUAACGUCGCAAGACCAAAGAGGGGGACCCUCGGGCCUCUUGCCAUCGGAUGUGCCCAGAUGGGAUUAGCUUGUUGGUGGGGUAACGGCUCACCAAGGCGACGAUCCCUAGCUGGUCUGAGAGGAUGACCAGCCACACUGGAACUGAGACACGGUCCAGACUCCUACGGGAGGCAGCAGUGGGGAAUAUUGCACAAUGGGCGCAAGCCUGAUGCAGCCAUGCCGCGUGUAUGAAGAAGGCCUUCGGGUUGUAAAGUACUUUCAGCGGGGAGGAAGGGAGUAAAGUUAAUACCUUUGCUCAUUGACGUUACCCGCAGAAGAAGCACCGGCUAACUCCGUG
rnacentral:rRNA from 1 species